GCAGUCGUGGCCGAGUGGUUUAGGCGAUAGACUAGAAAUCCAUUGGGGUCUCCCCGCACAGGUUCGAAUCCUGCUGACUGCG
rfam:Ixodes scapularis strain Wikel colony gcontig_1107728935004, whole genome shotgun sequence.